GCAGGGAUUUCAGCCCUGGAGCCAUGGGAUGGAUGGUGGUGGUGUCACAGCAAUGAGCAGGACCCAAACCUGCUCCUCAGCUCCCAGCAAUGGACACGUCUCAAGUGGUUGAAGUUCAGACUCUUGGCCAUGAAUGCAACCAAAAAGGUGAGGAGCCACCAGAACAUCCCAUGGUUGCUCCAUGAAGGUCCACGCAGCAUAUUCAGUGCUGCCUUUGGGAAAGCCCUUUGGAGACCUGGGCCCAUUGGACACCCGCCCCAUGGAACCACUGCUUGUGCACCCCUUGAAGCCAUCAGAUGAGCUCCCCCAGCUCAGGAAAACCAAAGAGCUGAAGUCCUCCUCCUUGGGAAAGCACCUUCCUUGAGGAACACAGGGAGAGGCUGCUAAAUGGACCUUCUGGAGAUAUGAAGGUAUGGACCUUCACACACCAGCACCUGCUUUAAAGAGGGGGGCAAACCAAACCUCCUUGUGCUUGGAGACCUUCACCACCAGCUUCAAAGGAGGGAGGGGAGCC